AUAAAUUUUCAAUUUUUUCUGACUUCAUUUGGUAUUUUUCAUGCAUUUACUUACUUUUUUGAGCUAAUUGACCAUGAAAUUGAAAAGCACUAGAAAUGAACUCUGAAAAGGUUGAAAGUUGGCAUGGUAUCAUAGUUUCACCCACAUGGCAUGUGCUAAAAAGUUGAGAGAGUUACGAUAAAAAUUGGAUGCACUUCAUGUACAAACUGGAUCAUCCUUCGAAGUAUCAAGGUUUCAGACGAAAACCCAUCUGCUACAAAGGCAUUUUAUUAAAAU
rnacentral:lncRNA from 1 species